GCCGAUGUGGUGGAACUGGCAGACACGCGGGACUCAAAAUCCCGUCCUAGCAAUAGGGUGAGAGUUCGAUUCUCUCCAUCGGCA
rnacentral:tRNA from 1 species